GACGAACGCUGGCGGCGUGCUUAACACAUGCAAGUCGAACGGAAAGGCCCUGCUUGCGGGGUGCUCGCGUGGCGAACGGGUGAGUAACACGUGGGUGUUCUGCCCCUUUCUUUGGGAUAUGCCUUGGAAACUGUGUCUAAUACUGGGGAGAACCAUGCUGUCUGCGGGGUGGUGGAAAGAUUAGUUUCGGUGAGGGGUGAGCUCGCGGCCUAUUAGCUGGUUGGUGGGGGAUUGGCGUAUCAAGGCGUCGUCGGGUAGAAGGCGUGUGAGGGUGGACGGCCACAUUGGGACUGAGAUACGGCGCAGAAUCCUACGGGAGGCAGCAGUGGGGAAGAUUGCACAAUGAGGGGAAGCAUGAUGAAGCGACGCCGCGGGGGGGAUGACGGCCUUCGUGUUGUAAACUCCUUCCAGCCAUGACGAAGCCCUUGUGGUGACGGUAGUGGUAGAAGAAGCACCGGCUAACUACGUG
rnacentral:rRNA from 1 species